rnacentral:rRNA from 1 species
UACGGGGGGUGCGAGCGUUGUCCGGAAUCACUGGGCGUAAAGGGCGCGUAGGUGGUCUUAUAAGGGUGUGGUGAAAGCCCGGGGCUCAACCCCGGGUCGGCCGUGCCGACUGUAAGACUAGAGUGCUGUAGGGGCAGGCGGAAUUCCAGGUGUAGCGGUGAAAUGCGUAGAUAUCUGGAGGAAUACCGGUGGCGAAGGCGGCAUCCUGGACCGGCAUUGACGCUGAGGAGCGAAAGCCAGGGGAGCAAACGGG